UACGUAGGGGGCAAGCGUUGUCCGGAUUUAUUGGGCGUAAAGAGCGUGUAGGCGGCCAGACAAGUCUGCUGUGAAAACUCGAGGCUCAACCUCGAGCUGUCGGUGGAAACUGUCUGGCUAGAGUCCGGAAGAGGAGAGUGGAAUUCCUGGUGUAGCGGUGAAGUGCGCAGAUAUCAGGAAGAACACCCGUGGCGAAGGCGGUUCUCUGGGACGGUACUGACGCUGAGACGCGAAAGCGUGGGGAGCGAACAGG
rnacentral:rRNA from 1 species